CUGGAAGCAUGCGCAGAAGACCCAAGCCGUGCAGAGAAAGGAUGCAGCCGCUCUUGAGUGCAGAGCAAGGCGUCCUUCCGCGCGUGUUCCCGGGAGGAUGCUGCGCCCUCUGGUGGCCCGGGGCCCCAGCCCUGCUAGGAGGGUUCCCGGGGCUACCCAGGCAAGACUGAUCACCGGCGUGAGGCUGCAGAAGGAUUCUGGUUGUCCUUGGGCUGGAAGGGUGGAGAAUCACUUCUGCUCUAGGGUUGUGACCACCCAAGAACUGGAACUAGCUGGCUGUCAAGCCAGAUCUCUUCAGAUGGUGGCUCCCGCGGGUGCCACUGUGCAGACGCAGCUGGGGGUAGGCAGGCAAAGAAGUAAUGAAGCCGCAGGACAAGCCGUCGACUCCAAGGCUCAGCUAGCGGCGGACUGUCCAGGAGUAGCUCCCGGGUUUAGUCCUCAGUGCUGAGGUCUGGCUCAUUCCCAUGGCUUCAGUUACAUCUCUGCGCUGGCAACUGCUAGUCGCCCACUCCACCUGCACCUGAGUGCCACACAGGACCCUCUCAAUCAACGUGCCCACUGCAUCUGGUCUUCUGCACCUGCCAUGCUGGCUCUGUCACCAGCACCAUCAGCAUACUGGCUACCACCUGGGAGACACCUGUGUCGUGCUGUCAUCAGAAUACCCAAGCUUGUCAUUCUGCCCUCCAAUCUCUCUCCAGCCCCACUGUCCCCCUUGGUCUUACUGCCUGGGGUAUCAAACUCAGUUUUCUUGUCCUCGUCUUCCCAUGUGCCUUCUGUGCCACCACACCACAAUCAAAAUGCAGGCGUGACCAGUGGACUAACUGAUGGUGACCAGAGCAAGCUGACCUGCAGCGGGGCCUCCAGGCUGCCUGCUACUCCCACUACCUGGCCCACUUCCUUGCUACGCUCACUGUGGCUUUACCACACUGCUGCAAGGUGUGCUCUGCGGGCUGCCAGGAGAAAGGCGCUCCUGACCAACCUGUCCUUACUCCCCAGGACUCGGAUGAGUCACCCUCCUUCUGGGCGAGAGAGAGCAUGUCCCUCACUCCAGUACUCGUCACACUCUAAUGUGCUUGUCCAGUUUCGUGUCAGUCUCCUCACUGGACUAAGCUUCUCUGGGGUGAGAACUUAACAUUUUGGUUCCCAGUAUUUGUGGAAGCACUUGCUGAAUGAAUAAAUGACCUUGGCUUGGAGGACUCAA